AUUCUACUCCCUCUGUCCCAAAAUUCUUGUCUUAGAUUUGUCUAGAUACAGAUGUAUCUAAUACUAAAACGUGACUUGAUACAUCCGUAUCUAAACAAAUCUAAGACAAGAAUUUUGGGACGAAGGGAGUAUUAG
rnacentral:pre_miRNA from 1 species